rnacentral:rRNA from 1 species
AACCAGCACCUCAAGUGGUCAGGAUGAUUAUUGGGCCUAAAGCAUCCGUAGCCUGUUCUGUAAGUUUUCGGUUAAAUCCAUGUGCUCAACACAUGGGCCGUCGAGAAUACUGCAUAGCUAGGGAGUGGGAGAGGUAGACGGUACUCGGUAGGAAGGGGUAAAAUCCUUUGAUCUAUCGAUGACCACCUGGGGCGAAGGCGGUCUACCAGAACACGUUCGACGGUGAGGGAUGAAAGCUGGGGGAGCAAACAGG